rnacentral:lncRNA from 1 species
GCAGGUGAUUUUGGCAUGUCCGGCAGGUGGUUCUGGGGAGUGGAUCAGGUGGUUCCGGCAUACUCGGCAGGUGGUUCCAGCAUGUCCGGCACAUGGUUCUGGCACGUCUGAGAGGUGGUUCCGGCAUGCCCGGCAGCUGAUUCGGGAGUGUUCGCCAAGUGGUUCUGGCGUAGCCGGCAGGUGAUUUUGCAUGUCCGGCGGUGGUUCUGGCGAGUCGAGCAGGUGGUUCCGGCGUGCUCGGAAGGUGGUUCCGGCAGUUCCGGCAGUUGUUUUCCGUGUGUCCAUGACGUGGUUCCGGCAUGCCCGUAAGGUGAUUCUGCAGUGUCCACCCACUGGUUUUGGCGUAGCCGGGAUAAGAUUUUGGCCUGUGAGGCAGGUGGUUCCGGCAUGUCCAGCAGGUGGUUCCGGUGAACUCGGAAGGUGCUUCCGGUCUCUCCGGCACGUGGUUGUGGCACGUCUGAGAGAAGGUUCCAGCAUGCCCGGCAGGUGAUUCCAGAGUCUCCGGCAUGUGGUUCUGGCACCUUGGAUAGGUGGUUCCGGCAUGCCCGGCAGGUGAUUCCGGAGUCUCCGGCAUGUGGCUCUGGCACCUCUGAGAGGUGGUUCCUGAAUGCCUGGCAUGUGAUUCCGGAGUGUCUGCCAUGUGGUUCUGGCAUAGCCGGCAGUUGAUUGUGGCGUGUCCAGUAGGUGGUUCUGGGGAGUGGAGCAGGUGGUUCCGGCAUACUCGGCAGGUGCUACCGGCGUGUCCAGAACAUGGUUCUGGCAAGUCUGAGAGGUGGUUCCGGCACGCCCGACAGGUGAUUCCGGAGCGUCCGCCAAGUGUUUCUGGCGUACCCGGCAGGUGAUUUUGGCAUGUCCGACAGGUGUAUCUUGCGAGUCGAUCAGGUGCCUGAGGCAUGCUCAGCUGGUGCUUCCGGCGUCUCUGGCACGUGGUUCUGGUGUGUCUGAGAGCUGGUUCUGGCAUGUCCGGCAGAUGAUUCCGGAGUGUCCACCAAGUUGUUCUUGUAUACCUGGCAGGUGAUUUUGGCGUGUCAGGAAGUUUGUUCCGGCUAGUUGAGCAGGUGGAUCAGGCGUGCUCGCCAGGGGGUUCAGGCGGGUCUGGCAGGUGGUUUCGGUCUGUUCGGGGAGUGGUUCCGGCAUCUCAGGCUCAUGGUUCUGGCACGUCUGAGAGGUGGUUGCGGCCGGCCCGACAGGUGUUUCCGGAGUGUCCGCCAAGUGGUUCUGGCAUAGCUGAAAGGCGAUGUUGGCGUGACCGUCAGGUGGUUCCACCCAGCCCGGCAGGUCAUUCCGGAGUGUCUGCGGAGUGGUUGUGGCGCAGCCGGCAGGUGAUUCUGGCGUGUCCAGCAGGUGGUUCUGGGGAGUGGAUCAGGUGGUUCCGGCAUACUCGGCAGGUGGUACCGGAGUGUCCGGAACAUGGUUCUGGCAAGUCUGAGAGGUGGUUCCGGCAUGCCCGACAUGUGAUUCCGGAGUGUUCGCCAAGUGGUUGUGGCGUAGCCGGCAGGUCAUUUUGCAUGUCCAGCGGUGGUUCCGGUGACUCGAGCCGGUGGUUCCGGCGUUACCAGCAGGUGUUUCCGGUCUGUCCAGCAG